UCGUCAUUAAUACACUACACAUAGACUGUGUUUUUCCAAUGGGUAAAUUUUAUAGAACCCCCUUGAUCUAGUGUUAUACAGUUCUGUUAGUCUUUAGUAAGGUUCUAAGGGAACUCUAGUGGAAGAAAGUUGUCAUAGAAUAAUAAGCACAAGAAGAAUGGCCACCCCAAUAGCAACCGUUAACAACAAUACCUACUACAUGUAUAAUAUACAUGGUGAUUGUGAAGCUGUACAGAUUGGAAGAUCAAACACAAUAAAUGAAACUGGUAACCAGACCGACAGUGAUGAUUGCACAUCCGAUAUGGAAGAUGUGAGAUUCCAGAUCAAUCGGAUAACUGAAGAGAUGGCUGAAAAAUUUGAAAGAAAAGAUGAAGAAAUAGCUGAAUUAAAAGACAGGGUGGCUGACCUGGAAGCAUUUAAGAAGAAAGUAGAACAAUCGGAAGUCAAGACAAACACCAACACUAAUACUAGACGUUAUGUCAGGGAUACGAGUAAUGAUAUUACUCUAAAGUUGGUAUAUGGCCCAUGUAAAGAUAUGGGUACUAUAACUGUCAGUAAGAAAGUCAGUGUUAAUGAUUUAAAGAAGUUGAUAGAAGAGAAGAAGAAUGAGAAGAGUAGUGAGAUUGGUAUAAUAGGAUAUAGAGAUGGUAGUAGGACAUGUAUCUACAACAAUGUUACCAACAAGAACGACUAUAGCCUGGAACAACUUGGUGUUGUAGACCAGGACGAGGUUGUGUACUGGUUACAGUAAAAUACAGUGAUUAUAUUGAUAUGAUGUAUUGAUGGGCUCCUUUAUAUUAAACAAUGAGGUGUCGAGGGAGGGAGGGGGGGGGAAGAUAUUACUUAUAGUAAAAUAUAAUGGUCGAACCAGAACGAGGUUAGGUAUUAUUGUCUCUUGAUUAGGUUGUGAGGGUGGAAUAAAGUAAAAUGUUGGAGUGGUGAUAUGGUUGGUGGUGGUGGUGGGUGGGUGCUAUGUUAGUGGUGUGUCGUGUCGUGUUGUGUUAGUGACGUGUUAGUGGUGUGAUGUGUAGUGUGGUGUGGUGUUGUGCGAGGUGUGUGGUGGGUGUUGUGUGUGCUAUAUUAGUGAAGAGUAUUAUCAAACAAACCAGCACCCUAGUAUUUAACCAAGUAUCUUAUACCCCACCCCACCCUGAUUGAUAUAUUGAAUCUUACUCUAAGUAAUAUCUUACCUGUCCCACCUGUCUUACCUGUCCCACCUGAUUGAUAUAUUGAAUCUUACUCUAAGUAAUAUCUAACAUCCUAAUAUAAAACUAGCUUACUACUGUAAAUAAAGCUGUAAUUCAAUAGUCACGAUUAUCAGGUGAUAUGUAGUCGUGAUCAUGUGAUAACUAACUGACAUAUAUAUAAUAUAUAAUUAUAUUAGUGAAACAAUGUUUUAUGCUUUUUAUUCUAAUUUUGUUUCAAUAAAAUAUUUUAUAACUAAA